CCAAACUGUUGCCUCGGCGGGAUCUCUGCCCCGGGUGCGUCGCAGCCCCGGACCAAGGCGCCCGCCGGAGGACCAACCAAAACUCUUAUUGUAUACCCCCUCGCGGGUUUUUUUAUAAUCUGAGCCUUCUCGGCGCCUCUCGUAGGCGUUUCGAAAAUGAAUCAAAACUUUCAACAACGGAUCUCUUGGUUCUGGCAUCGAUGAAGAACGCAGCGAAAUGCGAUAAGUAAUGUGAAUUGCAGAAUUCAGUGAAUCAUCGAAUCUUUGAACGCACAUUGCGCCCGCCAGUAUUCUGGCGGGCAUGCCUGUCCGAGCGUCAUUUCAACCCUCGAACCCCUCCGGGGGGUCGGCGUUGGGGAUCGGCCCUCCCUUAGCGGGGUGGCCGUCUCCGAAAUACAGUGGCGGUCUCGCCGCAGCCUCUCCUGCGCAGUAGUUUGCACACUCGCAUCGGGAGCGCGGCGCGUCCACAGCCGUUAAACACCCAACUUCUGAAAUGUUGACCUCGGAUCAGGUAGGAAUACCCGCUGAACUUAAGCAUAUCAAUAAGCGGAGGAAUG
rnacentral:rRNA from 1 species